CUUCGUAAACCGUUGCUGUGAUUUCGCGCUUGCUCAUUUUAAUAUAUUCUGUGAUUUAAAAUGUAUCAUUUUAAUAUUCUGUGAUUUAGUUUUUUUUUUCGUCAUUUCUUUUGUUAAAUUUUUCGUCAAAUUGGUGAUAAAGCUAAAACCACUUAGUACGAAAGUAAAAAUUUGAUAAACUAUAUGAUACUAAAGUGAAUAUUCGAUAAAUCAUAGGUGGUGUAUAUGAAGUUUUUUAUAUAUGAUUUAACUGAGAGUUAACAAAUGGAGUGACUGAAAAAAAAAAUCACAAAAUAUUAAAGUGAUACGUUAUAAACUAUAGAGUAUUGAAGUGAGAAAGCGCGAAAUUAUAGGGAUGGUAUUUGAAGUUUACCUUAAAAAAAAAAUAUUUAAGAAAGAAUUUUAGAAAUUAGUUGGAAACGUAAAACAGUUAGACUUCGAACUGAUGAGUGAUGACAUAGAAUACCAACCAUCAAUCCUUUGCCACUGUGAUGAGGAUGGUCGUUAACGUAAA
rnacentral:lncRNA from 1 species